UCUCCGUAGGUGAACCUGCGGAGGGAUCAUUACUGAGUGAGGGUCUCCGGGCCCGACCUCCAACCCUUUUGUGAACCACCUCGUUGCUUCGGGGGCGACCCUGCCUUCGUGCGAGGCGCCCCCGGAGGCUCAUCAAACACUGCAUCUUUGCGUCGGAGUCUUAAUGAAUUUAAACAAAACUUUUAACAACGGAUCUCUUGGUUCUGGCAUCGAUGAAGAACGCAGC
rnacentral:misc_RNA from 1 species